rnacentral:rRNA from 1 species
GAUGAACGCUGGCGGCGUGCCUAAUACAUGCAAGUCGAGCGAACAGACGAGGAGCUUGCUCCUCUGACGUUAGCGGCGGACGGGUGAGUAACACGUGGAUAACCUACCUAUAAGACUGGGAUAACUUCGGGAAACCGGAGCUAAUACCGGAUAACAUGUUGAACCGCAUGGUUCAACAGUGAAAGACGGUCUUGCUGUCACUUAUAGAGGGAUCCGCGCCGCAUUAGCUAGUUGGUAAGGUAACGGCUUACCAAGGCAACGAUGCGUAGCCGACCUGAGAGGGUGAUCGGCCACACUGGAACUGAGACACGGUCCAGACUCCUACGGGAGGCAGCAGUAGGGAAUCUUCCGCAAUGGGCGAAAGCCUGACGGAGCAACGCCGCGUGAGUGAAGAAGGUCUUCGGAUCGUAAAACUCUGUUAUUAGGGAAGAACAAAUGUGUAAGUAACUAUGCACGUCUUGACGGUACCUAAUCAGAAAGCCACGGCUAACUACGUG